UGGGGAAUAUUGCACAAUGGGGGGAACCCUGAUGCAGCGACGCCGCGUGAGCGAAGAAGUAUCUCGGUAUGUAAAGCUCUAUCAGCAGGGAAGAAAAUGACGGUACCUGACUAAGAAGCUCCGGCUAAAUACGUGCCAGCAGCCGCGGUAAUACGUAUGGAGCAAGCGUUAUCCGGAUUUACUGGGUGUAAAGGGAGCGCAGGCGGCGCGCCAAGUCUGGUGUGAAACCCCGGGGCUCAACCCCGGGACUGCAUUGGAAACUGGCGAGCUGGAGUGUCGGAGGGGCAGGCGGAAUUCCUGGUG
rnacentral:rRNA from 1 species